AGUGCAGUCUCUACCUGUACACAACAGUCUCAUCAUAGCUGAACUUUUGCUGGGAAUCUUCAUUCCAGGGUCCAGUCUUGAUCUACGUCCUGUGAAACCUGUGAGAGUUGAUGAUCCUCAUACAGGUCAAACAGUUCACACACAGGAGAUCCGGGUGGAUUGAGAGAUCACAUUCCUCUGCCAGGACGCAGGAGAGGAUGGAAACCAUCAUAUAUAGCCCUGCUUUGUUUGAGCAAUGAGAGGUCUCCACUGAUGCAAGCUGUGGUGUGUGAAGUGCAGAGUACUUGAAGGUACAUGAAGGGAUCACAGCAGAUGUCAGGUAGGCACAGGUGGACCGCUGAGUCCUGACCUGACCCCAACCAGUCACAUGAUAGCUGGAUAGGUCAACGACUCACAUGGGACCUCAACGACGCUCAAUGUGUUAAUGACCCCACUGGAGGUCAAAUACCUGGGACCAUACCAGAUAUUGAGAGCUGAAGGAGCCUUUUCAGAUUACAGAGAGAAAUCCAGAUGGCAUUUGGAUGUUAGAGGACCAGAGGAUGGAUGUGCUGCAAGUAUUUAGAGUGUGGGAGUCGAGACCAUCAACUCUCAACAGGCUCACAGAUUUUUAUUAAUCACCCCUCAGAGGGAGCCAUUGGCUUUGUAUCCCCAAAUGGCUGCCGGUAUUGCUUUGCACAAGUUCUAUCCCCAACCAGCCAGCGUGUCAUGCUGCGUGUGUGUGGUCUCUUAAUGUGAUAUCUCCACUGGCUCUGCAAAAUCAGCGUGAUGCACUGCCAGCACAGCAGCAACCACUUUUGAUUUUUCCAUAGAAGGAUGAAUCACUCUUGAAUGAACACUUAGUGACCCAUGGUUUAAAGGCCAAGAUUACCCCUAGCAACCGCUGCUCUCUGGGGUUCAUAAUCGAUGGUGACAGCUGAACACCCUGCUGUCUACCUGAGCUCUCUCCGCUGGUCAUCCUAUCUAAGACACAGCAAGGCCCUCCUUGCAGUCAGGGUUCACAAAGUCAUUACGCUAUGAUGCAGCCUGACAAAAAUUUAUCUUUAGGCUACAGUUUUCUGGUAGCAUCUAACAUGCGUUGCAUGUCUGAUGGAUCUCUGUCUCUGCAUGAGUUUCUCUUGAUGCUCACAGAGCAUUUGAAAAGCAUGUAAUUAUCUACUUACAGAUUUAAAUAAAUUUGUUUUUUUUUUCUUGGAUAUACUUCACCAAAGUGCAUUCGAAUAAACAAAACUGUUUUGUAAUUAUUUUGUCUUCCACUGAGGAAAAGACAGGAUUUUUAAAUUCAGUCAAAAACUGGUGUUGGAGAAGUCUAAACAGGAUCUGAAUUAAUGGUCCCAACUUUAGCUGGUAGAUUCCUGCCAAGAUAAACAUCUUGCCUUGAUUUUUGUUUCUUUUUCAAACAGUAUUUGUAUCACAUUUUUUUAAGAAUUGGAUAAAUGCAUUUCAUCCUCUAUCAGGAAUAAACCCAAAAACAACAACAACAACAAAAAAAAAACAACACAUAUCUGAGGAGACAAAAGGCAGAUGCAGGAUUGGAAUAGCUGAAUCAUUUUGUCCUAUCAUUGCUCUGCCAAUAUUUACAGAGUUGUUUAUUGGCUAUUAAAUUUUGUACCAUGGUACUGAACCAGUACCAGAUGGAGCAGUGUUCUUGUAGUACCUUUAAACUUUAAACCUAUUGUGUGUGUGCUCUAAUUUAGGGACUGGGCCUGUGUUAUAUUCCCUCUACGAUGUGAUGAAAUUAAUGUUGGAAAAGUUCAAUGAAACAUGAACAAAUAAAUGAAAGUGGCUUCAAUCUUCUAAUUUUCCAAAAUGCUCUCCUUUGAUGAUCAAGGUCCCAUUCCUGGAUUUUUUUAAAGCUGUCCUCUGUAGUCUUUGGGCAGCUCACCUCAAAGAUACACUGAGUACUUCCUGAAUGUAUAUACCAAAUGUCUUCCUGAGGGAUUCUUACUCCUUGGGGGGAAUCACAUCAAAGCAUCAGAUACAGAUAGUUCAUUUUGGGCAAUUUCAGACUGAAAUAACAUCAGCAGUGCGCUCGUGGCUUCCUGUUGUCAUCUUCCUGUACUUUUCUGUCCUCUGUGUGACAUUCACAUGUUAUUUGUAAAUUGAAUUAGAAGGGAA